GUCUAUGGUCAUGCCACCCUGAACAAGCCCGAUGUCUGAUCUCAGCAGCUAAGCAAAGUCGGGCCUGUUAAUACUUGGAUGGGAGACCACCUAGGAAGACCAGGUGCUGUAGGCA
rnacentral:rRNA from 1 species